rnacentral:rRNA from 1 species
AUUGAACGCUGGCGGCAUGCCUUACACAUGCAAGUCGAACGGUAACGCGGGGCAACCUGGCGACGAGUGGCGAACGGGUGAGUAAUGCAUCGGAACGUGCCUGGUAAUGGGGGAUAACUGCUCGAAAGAGCAGCUAAUACCACAUACGACCUGAGGGUGAAAGCGGGGGACUCGCAAGAGCCUCGCGCGAUUGGAGCGGCCGAUGUCAGAUUAGGUAGUUGGUGGGGUAAAGGCUCACCAAGCCAACGAUCUGUAGCUGGUCUGAGAGGAUGAUCAGCCACACUGGGACUGAGACACGGCCCAGACUCCUACGGGAGGCAGCAGUGGGGAAUAUUGGACAAUGGGCGAAAGCCUGAUCCAGCAAUGCCGCGUGAGUGAAGAAGGCCUUCGGGUUGUAAAGCUCUUUUACCCGGGAAGAUAAUGACCGUACCGGGAGAAUAAGCCCCGGCUAACUCCGUG